AUUGAACGCUGGCGGCAUGCUUUACACAUGCAAGUCGAACGGUAACAGGCCGCAAGGUGCUGACGAGUGGCGAACGGGUGAGUAAUGCAUCGGAACGUGCCCAGUCGUGGGGGAUAACGCAGCGAAAGCUGCGCUAAUACCGCAUGCGAUCUAUGGAUGAAAGCGGGGGACCGAAAGGCCUCGCGCGAUUGGAGCGGCCGAUGUCAGAUUAGGUAGUUGGUGGGGUAAAAGCUCACCAAGCCAACGAUCUGUAGCUGGUCUGAGAGGACGACCAGCCACACUGGGACUGAGAGAAGGCCCAGACUCCUACGGGAGGCAGCAGUGGGGAAUUUUGGACAAUGGGCGCAAGCCUGAUCCAGCAAUGCCGCGUGCAGGAAGAAGGCCUUCGGGUUGUAAACUGCUUUUGUACGGAACGAAACGGUCCGGGUUAAUACCCUGGGCUAAUGACGGUACCGUAAGAAUAAGCACCGGCUAACUACGUGCCAGCCGCCGCGGUAAUAC
rnacentral:rRNA from 1 species